rnacentral:misc_RNA from 1 species
AAAUCCCUCCACUCUAUUCUAAAUGAGUUUUAAAUUUUAUAAAUUAUCUCUUCCGUGCAGAGCUUCAAGAGCACGACGCAUUUUGAGAAAUUCGCUCGUUGGGAAACAUUUCGCAAACAUGUCUGAGCCGAAGACCGUCAGGGGCGCGGCGAUCAAGCGAGUCGAAAGCUUUCCUGCAAUUGAAGGGAAAGGCAAACUCUUGGCAGUUAUCGGAGACGAGGAUACCUGUGUGGGGUUCCUCUUGGGAGGUGUCGGAGAGAUCAACAAAAAUCGUCAUCCCAACUUUAUGGUUGUCGACAAAAGUAUGUUAAAAUUAUACUGCAGUGAGUGAAAUCGAAGAAACAUUUAAGCGUUUUAUCAGAAGGGACGAUAUCGACAUUAUUUUAAUUAAUCAAAAUGUGGCUGAGAUGAUUCGACAUGU